GACGAACCGUGCGAACGUUGUUCGGAUUCACUGGGCUUAAAGGGCGCGUAGGCGGACGGUCAAGUCGGGGGUGAAAUCUUUCAGCUUAACUGGAAAAGUGCCUCCGAUACUGAUCGUCUCGAGGGAGGUAGGGGCAUGUGGAACUUCCGGUGGAGCGGUGAAAUUCGUAGAUAUUGGGAAGAACACCAGUGGCGAAGGCGGCUCUCUGGACCGUAACUGACGCUGAGGCGCGAAAGCGUGGGGGAGCGAACAGG
rnacentral:rRNA from 1 species